rnacentral:rRNA from 1 species
AUUGAACGCUGGCGGCAGGCCUAACACAUGCAAGUCGAACGAGAGGCGGACGGGUGAGUAAUGUCUGGGAAACUGACUGAUGGAUGGCGAUAAAUACUGGAAACGGUUACUAAUACCGCAUACAAUCAGAUGUGCCCAAAUGGGAUUAGCUUGUUGGUGGGGUAAAGGCUCCCCACGGCGACGAUCCCUAGCUGGUCUGAGAGGAUGACCAGCAACACUGGAACUGAGACACGGUCCAGACUCCUACGGGAGGCAGCAGUGGGGAAUAUUGCACAAUGGGCGCAAGCCUGAUGCAGCCAUGCCGCGUGUAUGAAGAAGGCCUUCGGGUUGUAAAGUACUUUCAGCGGGGAGGCGUUACCAGCAGAAGAAGCACCGGCUAACUCCGUGCCAGCAGCCGCGGUAAUUC